AUAUAUAUGCUGUACUGUUUCAACUGUCAGUCCACCUCCUCCUGAAUCAACAAAACCAUGCCCAAUUUCUCUCCCCCAAAUUACAGUAGUUGCACAAUUUCUUCUCUCUUCCUCUCUCCGCCCAAGCAGCAAUUUCGACAUCAGAUAGAUGAAGUUCACGUUGCCGGGAAUCGCUGCAACAUUAAGAAGAGCCUGCAUGAAGAUGACAACCGAAAGACAUAAGGACUUUAGAGAUUAUGCAAAGUCAACCCUAGAACUGAUCAAACCUGACCCCAACACAUCACUUGGGUCAAGUUCUAUUAAUAUGAUCUGGUUCUUAGUUAAAAGUUGAAGACAAAAUUGGCUCCAUCCUAGGUUGUAUCAUAAAAGUUAUGCAAGUAGAGAAUAUAGUCGAAUGUGCCAAUUGAUCAAAAAAAGGUUGUGACAGAAAUUAUAGCGUGGAUACUAGACACAAGUAGCUUGACCAAACAACAGUUGAGAGUAGGCCUUAGAGCCUUGCCAAAUGAAUGUCUCCUAAGAGCCCACAAAUGUCAGAAACAGUAAGCAGCAGAACGGAUCACCCGCAGCAUUAACAAGACAUGAAGAGCAACCCAAAAAACCAGGAAAGCCUAUGGCCCCGCCAAACUACUGUUCAAGGAAGCAAAGGCACUAGAGUCUCAAAGAAUGCACCAAAAAUCAGCUAUCAGAACUCCCCCGAAGUGGGCUUUAUCAAAAGAUUAAAUUUUCAAAGACAUCAGUCUUCUUGGUAGAAAAUCAGAGCAUCUUUGCCACCAUCCCCCAAAAAACUUAGGCAACAUAUAUAAUGAAAUGACCUACGGAAAACCUCCACUUAAAGAAGUGCCCAGUGAACCAUGAGACAAAACAUUAGAGCUAUCACUAAGUGGGGGAAGGCACUUUAUGUGAAAUUCAGCUUUCCACAUUGUUGUGGUCUCAUAAAGGGUCCACAAUACAGGGUAAGCAGUUAAAAAUUUAUUUUUGAGCCAGCCCUUGUGAAGGGUUACAGUCCAACGUCCAGGUAAAUUUCUCACCUAUUACACAGGCUUUCACUUGUUAAGACAAAUUUAUAUUUAUAUAGGGUUCCAGAAAUAUCACACACACACACACACAGAGAGAAAGAGACAGAGCAAUCUGAUACUCUGCUGCUAUGACUUUACGUGUUUGACUGAAAAAAAAAAAAAAACCAUUAUGAAAAGGUUACUGAUAAUGGUAAGCAAUUUUAGUCUUUAAGAUCAAGAGCAAUGAGAUACUUUGCUGCUGAA